rnacentral:tRNA from 1 species
GGCCGGUUGGCCCAAUGGUAAGGCGUCUGACUACGAAUCAAGCAUUACAGCUUGUAGUUAAUCAGGAGAUUCUGGGUUCGAGCCCCAGGCUGGUCA